rnacentral:rRNA from 1 species
ACGACCGCGGCCCCAGGUCAGGCGGGAUCACCCG